UACAGAGGUCUCAAGCGUUGUUCGGAUUCAUUGGGCGUAAAGGGUGUGUAGGCGGUUAUCCAAGUCGGGUGUGAAAGCCUUGAGCUCAACUCAAGAAAUGCACUCGGUACUGGGUGACUAGAGGACCGGAGAGGAUAGUGGAAUUCCCAGUGUAGUGGUGAAAUACGUAGAGAUUGGGAGGAACACCAGUGGCGAAAGCGACUUUCCGGUCCUUAACUGACGCUGAGGCGCGAAAGCAUGGGGAGCGAACGGG
rnacentral:rRNA from 1 species